ensembl:lncRNA
CUCUCCUAACGAGCUGAUGAUCUGAAUCAGGUGCGUUAAAAAGGGAGACAAACAAAAUGUGCAGAGCAGUGGGUCCCGAGGACUGGAGUUGAGAACCACUGUUAUAAAUGGAGUAAUGUGCUGAAAGAAGCUGCUUGAGGUUUAUCUCGUGCAACAGAGGAAGUGGUGCGGGAAGAAGAGCGCGUCGGCCCUAACGUUUUGUGUGUACAACAGGAUAUCCGAUGCUGGGAGCGUUAGCCUCGUGUCGAGAGCACAUCUGCUGUCUCGCCUUAUCGCUCCACGUUUUGGAGUGCAGACGUCUCAUUUCAGCUCGUCGCAAGUAGUAAUACGGCUCAAAGAAGUCAAACGUUGCCUAUCUGGAACUCGUCCCUUAUCAUACUUGUAGAUGUUCUGUGUACUUUUAAGUGCUGGAUUUACUCAUAGGCGAAAACAUUAAUUGCCAGUUGACUGACAGCUGGAAAACACAGGGAUUUCAUGCUGGGGCAACGGUAAUUGUUUUCAGAUUUGUUUUAGAGUGUCUUUUUGAUCAAAUUUGUGAGAGAGCGAGUGAGAGAGAAGGAAAGAAGGAGAGGGAGCCAGACACUACUCAUGGGGCCCAUUAGGAAAUUGCCAGUAAGCAAAGUUGCAAAUAAGCUGUCACACAGUACAAAUGAGAUUACCUUUCCAAUGUGCCCUGGAACCUGCACACCGGGGGAUGCAGAACCAGUCACGGCAAAACAAGGCACAAUCGUCUGAUUUAUCUCAGCGCUUGAUCUUCUGGUGGUGUUCUUUCUACCUCUGUUUUUCAUGCAUCGUGUGCAAAACAGUUUACAAAGCGCUUGCAGCACAAGUUAAUCAGUUGUAGACAACCUCUGAAGCGAGUCGACAGUGUUUCAAGUCAGGGAUUUUACUUAUAGUCAUCAGCGCUGAAUUUAUACACAUACAGAGAGACUUAGUUGCAUAUUUCGGUUUAAACCGUUUAUUUACUGCUCCUGCUUUUCACCUCUUGAUCAGUUUGUUGAUGAAUUGAUUUAUUUUCAUCUGUUGAGGAGAUCUGCAAAUGUCUCUUGCACUGUGUCAAAGGGUUUGAUUUUAUUUAUUUAUUUAAAUGAACAGAUUUAAUCUGCUUUUUUUGGAAAGGUCAAAAUAAAACCUUUUUACUGUAUCUUUGUUGUUUACUUUUUUGCUAUUUUUAAAUGCCUUUUAUCUGUAUAGAUUUUAUUGUAUUUCUCUUGUCCCAGAACUAAACCUUAAAAUAUGAAAAUCCAUAUUAAAAAUGUAAAUGCUGAUGAACUAUGAUAAUCUAAAACGUAAAUGAUUGUAUAUACAUUUUUUGCACUUUGUUUACACAUUUUCUGC